rnacentral:rRNA from 1 species
ACUCUAGUGAGACUGCCGGUGGACAAACCGGAGGAAGGUGGGGAGUGACGUCAAGUCCUCAUGGCCCUUAUGGUAGGGCUUCACACGUCAUACAAUGGUCGGUACAGAGGGUUGCCAAGCCGCGAGGUGGAGCCAAUCCCUUAAAGCCGAUCGUAGUCCGGAUCGUAGUCUGCAACUCGACUACGUGAAGUCGGAAUCGCUAGUAAUCGCAGAUCAGCAUGCUGCGGUGAAUACGUUCCCGGGUCUU